rnacentral:lncRNA from 1 species
GGGGCUAUAAGGGGCAAAAUUGGCCUCAAUUUCGAGAAUUUUUCAAAUUCUACUUAUUCGUAUGUGUAUGGCUUUCUUUUUCCGUUACACAUAUUCAUUUUAUGAAAAAAAUGUUUUUUUUGUAGUUAUGACGUCAUAAUGCCGUGUUUUGACAACACUUCACGUGCAUAUUUGUUGGCUUUUCACAAUUUUUUACUCAUUUUCACUAACUUUUUUUACGAAA